rnacentral:siRNA from 1 species
UUAGAUGUUCUGGGCCGCACGC